rnacentral:misc_RNA from 1 species
GAUGAAGAACGCAGCGAAAUGCGAUAAGUAAUGUGAAUUGCAGAAUUCAGUGAAUCAUCGAAUCUUUGAACGCACAUUGCGCCCCUUGGUAUUCCGGGGGGCAUGCCUGUACGAGCGUCAUUAUAACCCUCAAGCCUAGCUUGGUGUUGGAGCAUGCUACCUAAGCAGCUCUUAAAAUCAGUGGCAGUGCCCUUCGGCUCUAAGCGUAGUAACUUCUCUCGCUAUGGAACCCGGAGGGUACGCGCCAGAACCCCCAACUUUCUAUGGUUGACCUCGGAUCAGGUAGGGAUACCCGCUGAACUUAAGCAUAUCAAUAAGCGGAGGA